AUAUCUUACAGCCUUACAAGUUAUGUUUAUGCUUGUGUUCCUAAGAUAGAACUUAUUUCAGGGCUUCCCUGGUGGCGCAGUGGUUAAGAAUCCGCCUGCCAAUGCAGGGUACACGGGUUCGAGCCCUGGUCCAGGAAGAUCCCACAUGCCGUGGAGCAACUAAGCGCAUAAGGCGCAACUACUGAGCCUGCGUUCGAGAGCCCGUAAGCCACAACUACUGAAGCCCAUGCGCCUAGAACCCGUGCUCUGCAACAAGAGAAGCCACUGCAAUGAGAGGCCUGCGCACUGCAACGAAGAAUAACGCCCACUCGCUGCAACUAAAAAGCCUGCGUGCAGCAACGAAGAACCAACGCAGCCAAAAAUAAAUUUUUUUAAAAAAGGAUUGUGGGUUGGGAUCUCCACUCAUGCUGUGAUCUGUCCGUGGUACUUGGCAAAGCUCACUAGCAAUGUGAAAAGAUUUCCAGCCAGCUAUGAAAGCACUUUCGUUUUAAAGCUGCCUGAGAUGAUUGUACACAAGGGCAGGAGGCUUUUUGGUUUUAUAGGCCACGCUUUUCCGGAUGCGCUCUCCUUUGAUGUUAACUACAUGUGGCAAGAGUGGGCGCCGGACCGUCAGAACUGUUCCUUGAGGGGGUGCAGGUUCGAUCCCUGAUCAGGGAGCUAAGAUCCCACAUGCCAUGCGGUGCGGCCAAAUUAAAAAAUAAAAAAGUGCUU